UGAUUGAUGCAAUUACAUUUUAUUUAUUGCUUAUAAAUCAUUCAAUAUUUUGUAAGUGUAAAUCAUAAAUGAUAAACACACAGUUUCAUUUCUAAUUUAACAGGGAACAACCAUUUAACUUUGAAAAAAAAAUAUGGUACACUACUCAUGAGCAUAAUUUUUUUAUUUCUUUAUCACAUAAAUGUCUUAUUUUUAAGGACUUUACAUUAAACUCAUGGCUAAUACAGUGUAAGAACAAUCAUUUUUUUCUUCUUCAAAUUUGGAAAUCGUAAGUAUUUUUUGUGGGGGAAAAACACAUCUACCACGCCCCACAUUAAAUGGUUGUCCCUUAGGAACAAUAAAACCAAAUUCUGAAUUUACCGUUUAUUAAAUAGCAUGAUGCUUUGUGGUUUCUUGUUUUAAUAUUUCAGAUGCCAUCAUGGAUAACAGACAUUUUACUCAACCAUGAAAUGAUGGAUGGGAUACAUCAUUAUUUUUAUUAUGAAUUCAUGGUUAAAAUCCAAGAGGCUACAACUGCUAGGAUUAACAUUGUGUCACUGGAGACACCUUGGAUGGUAACAGAGGUGACCGGUCAAGAUUGAAAGCUGAAGCAAUACCAUCCAUUUUUAAUUUUGGAUCAACUAUAAAAGAGGAAUCACCAAGAGCUAAACGCUUCAAACAGAGGUCCGCAGAAGAACCAACUCUGAUACUAAAUCAGUUUGAUUUUCAGUAUGAAACAGAAGUAGAUUCGUCUGAACCUAGAAAUGAGAAUCCUAUUACAGUAGAUGAUGUUUCCUCUAAUGACCAAGGAAUUCAGUGUGAUAUUCCAUCAUUUGGAAAAUUCAGCAUUGAGAGUUUCAAAUUUGAGGAUAAAUUGAUUAAUUAUUACACUGGUUUUGAUGAUUAUGAUCAUUUCAUGAUAUUUUUUCAUUGUCUUGGACAAGCUGCAUAUGAACUUCAGUAUCAUUGCUCUUUAUUAGACCCAAAAGAUCAACUAUUUUUAACCCUAAUGAAAUUGAGACAGGCAAAAGAGGAUGUUGAACUAUCAAUGUUAUUCAAAGUAUCAGAGUCCACUGUUUCUAGAGUCAUUAUGACAUGGAUAAAUGUUUUGUAUUUUCAAUUGAAAGAAUUAGAUGUAUGGCCGUCCAAAGAAAUCAUCGAAGAUACUAUGCCAGUUGACUUUAGGAAAAAGUUUCCUAAUACCCGUGUAAUUUUGGAUGCUACUGAGGUACCAAUUGAAAAACCCACACAUGUAAGUUGCCAAAGCACCACUUGGUCAAACUAUAAACAUAGAAACACUCUGAAAACUAUGAUUGGCUGUAGUCCUAGGGGAGCCAUAACUUUUGUGUCAGAAGCUUUUGGUGGAUCUGCAAGUGACAGACAAAUUGUUGAGAAAUCUGAACUACUGAAUCCAGAUAUUAAAAUGUUUGACAAAGGGGACAGUAUAAUGGCAGAUAGGGGCAUUAUGGUACAAGAUUUAUUUGCCAGUCAAGAUGUGUUUGUUAACACACCAACCUUCUUAAAAGGGAAGUCCCAACUAGAUCCACAGGAAGUGGUUCAUGAUAGGAGAGUAGCAUCCAAAAGAAUCCACAUCGAAAGAGUUAUUGGAUUGUCGAAAAGUUAUAAAAUUCUGAAACAUGGAAUUCCCCGUGGAAAACUUCAACUUGGUUCCAGAAUUAUCUUUGUGUGUUUCGUCCUUUCGAAUUUUAGAAAAAAUAUUGUACAUAAAAAUGCAUAACAGAUGAAAUUGAUUUACAUGCUAUAUGGUAUGGGUUUUUCUCAUUGUUGAAGACCGUACAGUUGUGAAAUUGUUUUCAUUUUUUUUAAUUUGAACUCUGGUGGAAAAUGUCUCAUUGGCAAUCAUAUCAUUAUCAUAUCUCUUUUUUUUUUUAAAUUAUAAUCAAUAUUUAUAUAAAUCCAUUCAUAUGGAUUAUGUUUUAUUCAUGAUAAUUGUGACUCUUUUCGCAACUGUACAAAUUUCACCUACAGUAACUUCCUUUCAUAUUAAUGGUCUUAGAACAUCAGUCUGGUUGAUCAAGCUACUAAAGUAAAAAUAAUUUUAAUGUGUGUCAUAAGAUUUUCAAAGUUUAUUCAAGAUACAUACAUAAAUAUGUUUUUUGGCACAAACUCAUUAAGAAUACAUUGUAAAUACCAACUGCAUAAAUAUAGAAUAAUAUUAAUUGAGAUGAUAGAAUGAAAAGUUGCACCAUGUUAAGGAUCUAUAGUCAGGUGAAAUUUAAAAAAAAAAUGGAAUUUAAAGAUAAUUUAAAUCAGAAAAACAUUUAAGUUAAUUAUAUAUAUUAUAUAGAUAGGUUAUAAUGGAACUCCUUUUCUAGAUAUUUGACUUUAAAAAAUGGUGGGAAAGGGCAGUUUCAAACUUCUAACUUAUAUUUAACAUUGGUAUUAUUUAGCAUAAUUCAAAUCAUAAGAAAAGAAACCUAGAAUCUGAUUAAAUUUUGGUAAUGACAUUUUAUGAGAUAUUGAAUAGAAAACUAAGUUGGUGAUUUGGGCUAAAUAUUUUACCAUGUAUUGUAGGGAAAAAACGUCUGACAUGACUACAUCCUUAAUAUAUCAUAUUAUUGCACUAUUUCUUGUAUUAAGACACUCUGAUUUGAAAGAGGAAAACAAUCUUAAGUAAUAUUGCCCAGGUAUUGUUAAAUUCCAAUAGAAAUAUUUUUCAACAGUGUUAAUGUAAUUAUAUUGUAUCUUAAAUUUAUAUUACAUUUAUUUUAUUUUCUAAUAUUUUUUGUUUUGAGGUAAAUAUAUAACAUUGUAAUAAGAUAUGUUAGUAUUGACAGGAUUUUAAGAUCCAUUUCAAUCAUUAAAAAAUGUGCACUUUAUGCAUAUUUUGCAUAUAGCUGCUCUAUGAUUAAUUUAA